GACGAACGCUGGCGGCGUGCUUAACACAUGCAAGUCGAACGGAAAGGCCCUGCUUUUGUGGGGUGCUCGAGUGGCGAACGGGUGAGUAACACGUGAGGAACCUGCCCUUGACUUUGGGAUAACUUCAGGAAACUGGGGCUAAUACCGGAUAGGAGCUCCUGCUGCAUGGGGGGGGUUGGAAAGUUUCGGCGGUUGGGGAUGGACUCGCGGCUUAUCAGCUUGUUGGUGGGGUAGUGGCUUACCAAGGCUUUGACGGGUAGCCGGCCUGAGAGGGUGACCGGCCACAUUGGGACUGAGAUACCGGCCAGACUCCUACGGGGGGCAGCAGUGGGAAUUUUUGCACAAUGGGCGGAAGCCUGAUGCAGCAACGCCGCGUGCGGGAUGACGGCCUUCGGGUUGUAAACCGCUUUCGCCUGUGACGAAGCGUGAGUGACGGUAAUGGGUAAAGAAGCACCGGCUAACUACGUG
rnacentral:rRNA from 1 species